AGCAGCCGCGGUAAUUCCAGCUCCAAUAGCGUAUAUUAAAGUUGUUGCAGUUAAAAAGCUCGUAGUUGAAUUUCAGGCCUGGCUGGACGGUCCGCCCUUCGGGUGAGUACUGUCUGUGGUCGGGUCCUACCUUCUGGCGAAGCGUCAUGGCCUUAACCGGCCGUGGCGGGGAACCAGGACUUUUACUGUGAAAAAAUUAGAGUGUUCAAAGCAGGCAAUCGCUUGGAUACAUUAGCAUGGAAUAAUGGAAUAGGACAAUGGUUCUAUUUGUUGGUUUCUAGGACCGUUGUAAUGAUUAAUAGGGAUAGUUGGG
rnacentral:rRNA from 1 species